rnacentral:tRNA from 3 species
UCACCGGUUCAAAUCUGGUUCUUGGCA